rnacentral:rRNA from 1 species
GACGAACGCUGGCGGCGUGCUUAACACAUGCAAGUCGAACGAAGUGGCGAACGGGUGAGUAACGCGUAAUCAACCUGCCCUUCAGAGGGGUACAACAGUUGGAAACGACUGCUAAUACCGCAUACUGAAGGAGGGGAUUGCGUCUGAUUAGCUAGUUGGAGGGGUAACGGCCUACCUAGGCAACGAUACAUAGCUGGUCUGAGAGGAGGACCAGGCACACUGGACCUGAGACACGGUCCAGACCCCUACGGGAGGCAGCAGGGGGGAAUAUUGCAAAAUGGGCGCAAGCCUGAUGCAGCCAUGCCGCGUGUAUGAAGAAGGCCUUCGGGUUGUAAAGCUCUGUUAAUCGGGACGCGGUACCGGAAUAGAAAGCCACGGCUAACUACGUGCCAGCAGCCGCGGUAAUUC